ACCUCCUUACCAUUUAGUACUGUAAAUCUGAGCUGUCGGUGACAACUACGAGUGUUACCUUUAUAAAGAGCCCAAGCCUUUAGAUAUACUGCAAAUGGUUGAAGAACAGCUUUCGUUGAAUUUAGGUAUGUUUCCCAGGCGUUUGAGCUGAAAAUGCCCAGAAAUUGCCAUAAUAAUGCAUACUCCAACUCAGAAGGUGGCGGUAAUGCACUACCCCAGUUUGCCAAGUGCCAAAUACCUAAAGAAAAAAGACGAAGAAGAAGUCUCGAGAUCUGAUUGGUUAUCGUAACUGUCCGUUCGUGUACAGCGCACAGGAGCCUGUUUUUGUUGGUUCUGAACGCCUCAGGCAGUCCUCAAUGGUCCUAGCAACACAAGCCUGCUGAGAUAUGAUUAGAUAAAGACUUUACAAUAAUAUACAACACUGGAAGCGGCGAAUCAAGCGGAAAUAAUGAGACGAAGAAAAUACACCAUGGGGAAUUAUUUUAUUUACAAAAAACAACUUUUCACAGUAUGUUGGGGCUAGCAGAAAAGUUAGCUGCCCCUGGCAACCGUAGUGUCAGUAGUGAAGGACUUCCUCGCUGUCUCCAACGUCUGCGUCUCUCCUGCGUUUUCACGCACGUCCGUGCAUGUGCAUAAAUGCCAUGGAAACCGCUGACGCGAAAUGGCUCGUCAUUUGCCCCAGGGCCUUGUGAAGCUCUGGAAACGCUUCAAGCGUUGGAGAAACCGGAGGAUCCAGCCGGAGCAGCCGGUGGGCGAAGGUGGUCCAGAUGGGCCUAACGGCGUCCACGUCCAUCCUUCACCCACUCCUCAGGUGGGUGACUCAUACACACCCCAUCCACCUUCUCCUCCACGCUCUCUUGUUUUUUGGUCUGCUGGUCCUUCUGUUUCCCCUUCACCCCUCCUGUUCCUUGUUGCUUUGAUGUUUCUUGCUUUUUCUCCUUCACCCUGUCCUACUCCUUCUUUUUCUUCUUCUUCUUUCUCACUCUCUUCUGCUUCCUCUGGUACUUGGUGCUCUGACAUCUUUCCCUUUUCUCCUUACCCUUCUCCUACUCCUUCUUCUUCUUCUUCCUCACUCUCUUCUGCUCACUCUGCUUCUCUGUGCUCUCCUCCUCACUCUCUCACCUCUCCUUUUUCUUCUUCCUCGCCCUCCUCUGCUUACUCUGGUACUUGUUGCUCUGCUGUCCUUCCCUUUUCUCCUUCACCCUCUGCUGUUCCUAGUUGUUCUGCUGUCUUUCCUUUUUGUCCUUCACCCUCUCCUACUCCUUCUUCUUCUUCCUCACCCUCUUCUGCUUACUCUUGUCUUUGUUGCUCUGAUGCCCUUCCUUUGUCCCCUUUACCCUCUCCUGUGACGGAGAGAGUGAAGGAGCUCAUCCAGCAGCUCAUCUUCCAGGAGAGGUAA
rnacentral:lncRNA from 1 species